rnacentral:lncRNA from 1 species
UAAACAUAGUGCUAAUUUUUCACUUCCUGAGAUCAAACAGGUCCUAAGUCCAUGUACGUGUACAAUUGGUAGGAUAAAAAAAAUCACUCUUCAAUAACUGCAAAUCCUUCCUCCUAAAAUUUACACACCUCCCCAUCACACGUAACUUUGCACAGAGUCACACUCGUGCAGAUACAAGCGUGUUCUUCGGCCAAUUAACGGUGGAAGGGAAAAAAAAAUAAAGAGUAUAUAAGGGU